AUUGAACGCUGGCGGAAUGCUUUACACAUGCAAGUCGAACGGCAGCACGGGGGCAACCCUGGUGGCGAGUGGCGAACGGGUGAGUAAUACAUCGGAACGUGCCCAGUCGUGGGGGAUAACGUAGCGAAAGUUACGCUAAUACCGCAUACGAUCUACGGAUGAAAGCGGGGGACCGUAAGGCCUCGCGCGAUUGGAGCGGCCGAUGUCAGAUUAGGUAGUUGGUGAGGUAAAGGCUCACCAAGCCGACGAUCUGUAGCUGGUCUGAGAGGACGGCCAGCCACACUGGAACUGAGGCACGGCACAGACUCCUACGGGAGGCAGCAGUGGGGAAUUUUGGACAAUGGGCGCAAGCCUGAUCCAGCCAUUCCGCGUGCAGGACGAAGGCCUUCGGGUUGUAAACUGCUUUUGUACGGAACGAAAAGGCUCUGGUUAAUACCUGGGGCUCAUGACGGUACCGUAAGAAUAAGCACCGGCUAACUACGUGCCAGCCGCCGCCGUAA
rnacentral:rRNA from 1 species